UAGACCAGACGAUCGCGUGUCCUCCGCUAUUUGGUGGAGGACAUGAGGAAAGUCCGGGCUCCGUAGGGCAAGGAUGACGGAUAACGUCCGCCGCAGGUAACUGUAGGGAAAGUGCAACAGAAACAUUCCGCCGAAACGGGUAAUGCCGUGGUAAGGUUGAAAUGGUGAGGUAAGAGCUCACCGGUGCCGUGGAGACACAGCAGCCGUGUAAACCCCAUCCGGAGCAAGACUAAAUGGGCAUUUGGUGGUGCGGCCCGUACCCGCCCGCAGGUGAGUCGCAUGACGCUUAAGGCAACUUAAGUGCUAGAUGGAUGAUCGUCAAAUACAGAACCCGGCUUAUGGUCUGCC
rnacentral:RNase_P_RNA from 1 species